UUCUGCCGGCGACCGGCGCACGGGUGAGUAACACGUAUGCAACCUGCCCGUGGCAGGGGGAUAAGCGGGGGAAACCCCGUCUAAUACCGCGUAACGCGGCCUAGGGACAUCCCAAGGCCGCCAAAGGGAGCAAUCCCGGCCACGGAUGGGCAUGCGGCGCAUUAGCUAGUCGGCGGGGUAACGGCCCACCGAGGCGACGAUGCGUAGGGGUUCUGAGAGGAAGGCCCCCCACACUGGUACUGAGACACGGACCAGACUCCUACGGAAGGCAGCAG
rnacentral:rRNA from 1 species